rnacentral:tRNA from 1 species
UGUCCAGGGAUGGGAAACGAACCCACAGUGUUCCGCUUACCGGGCAAAUGCCAUGACCACUAGGCUACCUUGGAC